rnacentral:tRNA from 1 species
GCCUCUUUAGCUCAGUUGGUUAGAGCGCUGCACCGGAAUCGCAGGGCCGUAGGUUCAAUUCCUACCAGAGGAC